rnacentral:lncRNA from 1 species
CUCAAAAAUCUGCUCCAUUUUAAUAAUACUCAAUGCAUUGAAAUUUGAUCAUCACCAAGAAUUUUGAUGGUUCAUCACUAUCCACUUAUCUACUCUUAACUUAUCAAACAAUUAUUUGGCAUCCAAUGGCAACCUGCUCCAACAUUCUUGCCUGGAGAAUCCCAGGGACAGCAGAGCCUGGUGGGCUGCCAUCUAUGGGGUCACACAGAGUCGGACAUGACUGAAGCGACUUAGCAGCAGCAGCAGCAUGUGCCAAGUACCAUCCUAAGUUCUGGGGACCCAAAGACAAGUUUAAGUGAACCUAGAUUCUCAAGUCUCUUCAGAGAGAAGGGCUGCCUCAUCAUUAUUCUCUUCAUAUUAUUAUCUUCUUCCUUCAAAAGCAAGUGGAUCCCCACAUUUGAAAGAUGUUUGAACUUGGAAAUUGUUUAAGAAAGAUCAUAACUAACUGUAAAUGGAAAUAAAUGCCUACUAAAGCAAAAUAAUUAAAACAGACUCUUCACCAAUGUGGCUGUCAGGAAUGAGAAGCCAGGGACCGGAAGCUAUCAUCGUGACAGGCUGUAUUCUGCUAACCAAAGCCAGGCCAAUAAAAACUCCAGACUUCCAACACCCUGCAAGCUGCUCCUGCCACCUCUCGGCUUCUGGUCUCCUUCCACCGCUCACACUGGCGGGUCUGCUGCACAUCACGCUCCCCGGGUACCGCAGCAGAUGCUUACCACCCACGUACUCCUCAGGAUGCGAAGUCAGAGGAGAGAAAUCUCGGUGUCUCUUGCAGCAAGGAAAAGGAGGGGAAAAAUCACCAGGCUACGCUCACUGGGAUUAUCUUGUCCACUCGUAUGAUUUCUCUUUCCUUCCUUGAAGGGCUCUGUAAGUGCCCUUAAAAGUGUG